rnacentral:rRNA from 1 species
GUUUACAGCCAUACCACCCUGAGCACGACCGAUCUUGUCUGAUUUCAGAAGCUAAGCCAGGUUGGGCCUGGUUAGUACUUGGACCACCAGGGAAUAUCAGGUGCUGUUUGGG